rnacentral:lncRNA from 1 species
UACAACAAAAUUUUAAAAGUAAUCCACCAUAUUGUUUUUGUUCCUAUCUAUGGUUUAGGCUUUAGACAGAUUAACAGCUCCAAAGUCCUAUCAAAUAGACAUGCAACCAACAUCUUAUGUGCAACUUUAUUCAUCUACCGGUUUUCAUGUUUUUUGACAUCGAUAAUACUCCGAUAGCGAAACCCUUAACAAACAAAAUACAUAAACUUUAUUUAUUAAAUGCGAUAACAAUCAAAUCAAACAUUUUCAAUAAUUGAUUCUUAUAAAAUAGCAAUAACCCUAAAAAAAAGUAUCAUCAUUUUUUAUAUAUAUAUUUUUGUACGUAUUUAUAGACCUCUCAAUAUCGUCGUAUAAUCGUUCGUAACGUGUCCACAAUCAUAACUGCAAUUCGGACGUCCGAUAGCGACUCUUGUCCAGAUACAUAGCUUAAUCCACAGCCGUUGGAUCAGAUUCCAAUCUAAGGGGUAGAAAAGUAAUUUCCACCUCUGAAACCGCCUAUAUAAUCACCUCCUAUUCAGAAAACCCUAAUACCAGAAAAUUAGUUAUUAAGAGUGAGAAUACGAAUUCUACUUAGGGAAUGCAGAGAGAUGAGUGGAGAUUCGCGGCUGUCUAACCGAGGAAGGGCUAAACGACCCAUCGGCGGCAGAACUUGCCACCGGAAACACGUCGAAGACGGGUGAACUACACGCCUGAUUAGUGUCUAUUUCUUUUACU